UAGCCUCUUUCGCCGACUCUGCCUCCGCCCUCGCUAUAUCUGCAUCGGCUUGAGCGGAGGACAAAUUCUCCUCGACCUUGGCGAGAUUUUUCAAACUUACCCAGAAUUGCUCGCGUUCGGCUUUGAGUUCACCGACGUAGUCAUCCUGCUCGCGGCGCAGCCGGCGAACAGUGCGGGACUUCCGUUUGGCUUCCUCGCGAGCCGACUGCAGCUCGGCUCCCGAGGCGGCCAGGGCACC
rnacentral:lncRNA from 1 species